UUUUUGUUCUACAAAGGAGCAGAAGAUUUUGUUCCAGGGCCUGUCUUCCUAAACCUCAAAGAAUUAUCAGAAAAAAUGAAAAUAAAAUAAAAAUAAAAAUAAAAGAAUUAUCAGGCCCAGAGCUCGCUGUCAGACCCAUCUCUUCACAGCGAACACAACUCGCGAGUACUGAGAAAGGGCGAGGCAGUCCCUUGCCUGUCCGGGGAAGUCGAGGCUCAGGAGGCGGGUCAAGGCAUUUGCCGGGUCCUUUAACCAGGCCCUAGCUUGGCUUCUGACUUCCCCGUGCGCCUCACGAGGACGGAUGCUCUAGUGGCAGGGUGACCGCAAGGACCAGGACGGGGAAGCCCCUGCACCUUGGCGCAUGCGCAUCGCCCAACCCCUCUGGGGCAUCCUCUGUCAGGGCACCAGCGUCUUGUGCUGCAGGGCUUCCUCUUGGGGAGUAGGCAACCGAGGACUGGAGGAUCCAUGUGUGAACCCGGAGGUGGGAAGGCCGAGCGACUAUGAAAGUAAGAGAAUGAAAUACCACUUCUGGGCAGGGUCUGAGGAAGGGGCAGCAGGCGGUGUGUCCGGCUGAAACGAUGGCAAGAAAAAGCCUCUGAAGUAGGCAAGAAGCAGGCCAAGGAAAUGGACGAGGAAAAUAAGGCAUUCAAGCAGAAACAGAGGGGCGGAAGAAACUGGAAGAGCUAAAAGCAAUGGCUGCAGAGAAAAGGCCCUCUGGCCACAGGUGGAAUUAAGAAAUCUGGCAGAAAAAAAAAAAAAAAAAAGAAAUCUGGCAGAAAUCUCCUUGUGCCCAAGGCAUUGGUGAUCCUUAAUUCCAUUUCUGUUUAAACAUCUGGAUUCCUUGUCAUAGCAUCUGUUCCCACUUAUGGCUGGAAUGAAGUGUUGUCUUACAUUCUGUUGUACAAUUAAGAAUAAACUUUUCUAAAAAAAAAUAAUAAAGUGAUCAUCAUUAAAAAAUCUCACUUCUAGGGCAGCCCAGGUGGUUCAGCGGUUGAGCAUCUGCUUUCAGCCCAGGGCGUGA